GACGAACGCUGGCGGCGUGCUUAACACAUGCAAGUCGAACGGAAAGGCCCUGCUUUUGUGGGGUGCUCGAGUGGCGAACGGGUGAGUAACACGUGAGUAACCUGCCCUUGACUUUGGGAUAACUUCAGGAAACUGGGGCUAAUACCGGAUAGGAGCUCCUGCUGCAUGGUGGGGGUUGGAAAGUUUCGGCGGUUGGGGAUGGACUCGCGGCUUAUCAGCUUGUUGGUGGGGUAGUGGCUUACCAAGGCUUUGACGGGUAGCCGGCCUGAGAGGGUGACCGGCCACAUUGGGACUGAGAUACGGCCCAGACUCCUACGGGAGGCAGCAGUGGGGAAUAUUGCACAAUGGGCGGAAGACUGAUGCAGCAACGCCGCGUGCGGGAGGACGGCCUUCGGGUUGUAAACCGCUUUCGCCUGUGACGAAGCGUGAGUGACGGUAAUGGGUAAAGAAGCACCGGCUAACUACGUG
rnacentral:rRNA from 1 species